UACGUAGGGAGCAAGCGUUGUCCGGAAUCAUUGGGCGUAAAGCGCGCGUAGGCGCCCGAUAAGUCCGCUGUGAAAGUCAACGGCUCAACUGUUGGAUGCCGGUGGAUACUGUCGGGCUAGAGUACGGAAGAGGCAAGUGGAAUUCCUGGUGUAGCGGUGGAAUGCGCAGAUAUCAGGAGGAACACCUAUAGCGAAGGCAGCUUGCUGGGACGUUACUGACGCUAAGGCGCGAAAGCGUGGGGAGCGAACAGG
rnacentral:rRNA from 1 species